rnacentral:lncRNA from 1 species
AGACGUAGUAUUUAUGUGGUUCGGUCAAGAUGACCUACGUCCACGGGCAGGAGGGGAGUAUUCUUUUAUUUCAGAGCUCUCAAACAGAGGUUACAAGUACAAUUACACAUAUAUUCACCUAUCACUCUAGAAUUCAAGAUACAAGACACACGACAAAUGACUUUGCAUGCAUCCCUAUUUAUACUUAAGGGAUCAAACCUAAAACCGUAAUGGGCCAAGCCUAUUGGGCCAUAGGCCCAUGAAAGGCGUCAACCAAUCACAAUCCACCAUGCAACAUCUUUUGGAACAUUCAUGAGCAUCAUCAUCUUCUAGGCAUACUUAGAUCAACAUGGCACAACAAAGGAAUCAAUAUGGCGCAUUGUGUACCAAGAUGGUCCAUGAUGACGCAACAAGGCCAUGCAUGGCGCAACAAGAAGCAUCAUUGCGCAAGAGGAAAACAAGAUGAAGCAAGAGGAAGUGCCAUGGCACAAGAGCAUCUUUCUUGGCCCAUCCCUUUAUCAAAUGGCGCAACAAGGACCCACUGUUGCUCCAUUUCCCUUCCAAGUGGCCCAAACCUCUUCCAAGUGCUCCAAACUUCUUCCAGAUGCUCUAAACCCCCUUGUACAUGAUCUGUUCCUUUGGCACUUGAUCAGUUCCUUUGUCUGAUGAUCCAUUCCUCUCUCAUAAGAUCCAUUCCUUUGUCACAUGCUCCAUGAACCCCAAGUGAUCCAUUGAGGCCCAAGAGCUCCAAAUGAUCCAUGAACAUGAUCCAAAUGCUCAAGUCACAUUUAACACAAUGGUUUUAAGGCAAUGGAGAUACCGGGAGAAAAAGAGAAGGCUUUGUGUCCGUCGAUGACCUAAAAGGCUUUAGGUGUUAUUUUUAAUAAUUUUCAAAAAAUUUAUAUGUUGUAUCAAUAAUGUUAGUAAGAAAAUAAAAAGAGGAUAUAAUAUAUAAUUAUCUUUUACAGGCAUUGAAAAGAUGUAGAUUGACGGAGUUAGUCUAACAUACCAUGCUUGCAACUUUUGGAAACCAUGAAAAAUGAGCCGUAUCAAAUUGUUAGAACUUGAACUCAAAACUACAAAUUGGUGUAAACCAUAGGGACCGAAAUUAUAAUCUACUCUAAAUAUUUUUUUAACCACUUUUUUCUUUN